CCCCCCCCCCUUUUUCUUUUCUAUUGAGCUUUUAGAUAUUGUAAGUUUCUGAUAUCAAUUAAUAUUAGAAUUAUUCUUGAAUAAAUUUGUUUUAUUUUCUUUCGAAUAAGACGCUACAUCACUAGCUGUACCUGUAGACCCUGGAACAUGAUCAGGACAUCAAGCUUACCUCGUGACAACCUAAAGGAAAUCUUCCAUAUGUCUACUUUAAUUUUUGCUUUUCUUAAAUCUUCGGAUUAUACCGGUAGAUUAAGCAUGUAACUACAUAGCCUACAAGUCUUUGAUCAGUGACAGAGUAAAUAAUUUGUUUUUGACACUAUUGUUUUAGUUUCCUCAAUGCUUUUUUCUUUUAUUGGGUUUUGAGUGUGGUGUUAUAAACUGCAUACAUUUACGCUUGUAUUUUGAACUGAUCCAACAUACUUUCCAUUUUCUAAAGGUUAUGAGUUCUUUACACCACAAUAAAUAAAUAAAACAUUGACACGAUUCAAACUUUGUUUUACUUCUCUUUGAACGAAGUGAUUUCUCUUCCAAUCGACACUAAUUAGAGCCUCACCUCUACAAAUUGACACUUAUUAGAGCCUCACCUCUGCCAAUUGACACUUAUUAGAGCCUCACCUCUACAAAU